GUGGGUAUAGCUCAAGCUGUAGAGCGCAUGCUUAGCAUGCACAAGGUCCUGGGUUCAAUCCCCAGUACCUCCC
rnacentral:tRNA from 1 species